GAUGAAGAACGUAGCGAAAUGGGAUACGUAAUGUGAAUUGCAGAAUUCAGUGAAUCAUCGAAUCUUUGAACGCAUAUUGCGCUCUUUGGUAUUCCGAAGAGCAUGCUUGUUUGAGUAUCAGUAAACACCUCAACCUCUUCUUGAUUUUUCAAAAGGAGGGUGGACUUGAGCUAUCCCAACAACCUUUACCGGUCGGCGGGCGGCUUGAAAUGCAGGUGCAGCUGGACUUUUAUCUGAGCUAAAAGCAUAUCUAUUUAGUCCUCGUCAAACAGGAUUAUUACUUUUGCUGCAGCUAACAUAAAGGAUAAUUGUCCUCUUUGCUGACUGAUGCAGGAUUUUACGACACUUUAUGUGUUGUUCAACUCGAUCUCAAAUCAAGAAAGACUACCCGCUGAACUUAAGCAUAUCAAUAAGCGGAGGA
rnacentral:misc_RNA from 1 species